ACGUAGGGUGCGAGCGUUAAUCGGAAUUACUGGGCGUAAAGCGUGCGCAGGCGGUUCGUUAAGUCUGAUGUGAAAGCCCCGGGCUCAACCUGGGAAUGGCAUUGGAAACUGGCGGGCUGGAGUAUGGCAGAGGGGGGUGGAAUUCCACGUGUAGCAGUGAAAUGCGUAGAGAUGUGGAGGAACACCGAUGGCGAAGGCAGCCCCCUGGGCCAAUACUGACGCUCAGGCACGAAAGCGUGGGGAGCAAACAGGAUUAGAUACCCUGGUAGUCCACGCCCUAAACGAUGAUCACUGGGUGUUGGGGAAGCGAUUCCUUGGUACCGUAGCUAACGCGUGAAGUGAUCCGCCUGGGGAGUACGGUCGCAAGAUUA
rnacentral:rRNA from 1 species